CACAACAUCUCAAACCUUGUUAUCUCUUCCUUUUACACAUAUUAAAUGUCGCAACCUUUUUGUUAAAUCCAUAGGAAUUCUUUGUCUCCUUAUAACCCUUCUUAUUACCCUUUUCAGAAACUGGAGGAGCCACUCAAAUUUUCAUAGAUUCUGCACAAGUCAAAGGGUAAGGGAGGUGACAGAAGAGAGUGAGCACACAUGGUGUUUCUUGCAAGAUAAAGAUUCAUGCUUGAAGCCAUGCGUGCUUACUCUCUAUCUGUCACCCCACCACCUUCUCUAACCUUUUCAUUUUCUAUUUAUAUAUAUAUAUAUAUUACUUGUUUGCGUCUUUGUUUAUUUAUUUUUUCUAGCUUUCCCUUUUUUGCUUGGACUAACCCUAAGUUGCAGCUAUUAGGACCUCACUAUCAGCCAAAUAAUAUCAACACAACAUCGAUCUGAUACAUGUUUCAGGGUACUGUAAAGAUAAAUACUAAAUGCAGUAUAAGGUGUAGCUGUGGCAGAUAUAGAAUGCUGAGAAGAUAUGGAGUUAUAGACCAUGUUCAUAUUUCUUGAGGGUUUCUUUAUAGGUUUUCUAUGAGAAUAAAAAAUUCAAGGGAUGGAUUCAGGAGAGUCUGUCAUAGAGUGGUCCUUCUUGUUUCAGAGGCUUUAGAUGUAUGAAGCAGGUGGGUUACUGCUUUAAUUAAUGGAUUAAUUUAUUAAAAUUUCA